GACUUCUCUUAGCUGCCUAGCCCGAGCAAACGCACAGUGGUAACUGAAUAGAAGCCUGUUUAAUCAUAUGAAUGUAAAAUAAAUAUGGAGAUACUCAAUGCCAAAAUGCAUUUUUGUUAUAUUAUUAUUUUGAACCAGCUCUGGCAACUAAAACCUUCUAUUAAGACAGCAACAAAGGGCGACACAAUAGUCCAACUUAUUUUUCUGUUAACGAAUAGAUUUAGUGAGCUGACUCACUUACCGAGAAAUGCCUAUUGGAAUAUGUAUGGAUGCGGCCAAGUAAGCGUCAUGCUAUUAUCGAUAGCUCAAUGUCAUCAGCUGCUGAUGUUAUCUAAACCACUGAGCUUUCGAAACAUGCAAAAAGAUUUGCCAUUCGCCAGUUAUAUAAAAUCUAUCGAUUACUGUUUGAAUUCAAUAUAUUAGUGUGACCAUAUAAAACUACACAAAUAUACUAAUUAUGGAUUGAUAAAUUCAUAAUGAACUUUAUUUACUGUAAACAUCAACGUUAGUUCAUGUAAUUGGAGUAGUUCCCUAACUCAGCCCAAUAUCUACACAGAAAAAGCUUCCCAUUAUCAUAAAUAUUAUCGAAAGCAAAACUUGUUUUUCAAUAACAAUGAUUGAUGAAUCUACACACAUAUUUGGCAUUGCAUUCCACUGUGCCAAUUGCAGAGAACGACAUGGCUCAUGGUGACAGUGCUUGCUGGGGCAUUUUUUUUGGCAGGGAAUUAUGAUGAUUAUGAUGAUGAACGCGUGGUUGUCCGAUAUGUUUGGCCUCCUCUUGCCAAUUGCAGGCCCAUCCGCCUCCCAGCCCCUCCCGCUUGGCCCCUCUGGCAGAGGCAGUGGGAAUCGCGGAUUGUCAACAUGACAGGCGCGACGACGACCACGUUGAAGAACUGUGGCAAUUCCGAGGAAUUUACUCGGCAGCCAAGCAAUUGUCUGUCUCUGGUAUCUGCUCUGGGCAACCGAAAUAGUGAGCAAACGAGUCGAGGCGGGGCGGAUGUAUGUAAAUCACUUUAUGCGCGAGUGUCAAAAAAUUAAGAAGCCCAAUUAGACGUUGCCACCUGUCAGCAGUUCGUCAUCUUCAGCCAAGAAUAUGACAUUCAUUCAUGCGCCAGAAUGACGAAGUAGACGAAACGCUUCAGCUGACAAUUUAUGUCGGGAGAUCUUAUGCCAGCCAGCCAGCCCGACAGCCAAUCCGCCAGUGAGUCGGUCCGUUCGUCAGUUUCCUCGGUGUGUGUGUGUGUGCUGUGGGCCAUAAAAGUUGUUGUUGGCCAUCAGAGCGCCAAGUGUUGCACUCAUUUAUGAAUUUAUGUUUUAUUUUAGUCCAUGGACCAUGAUAUUUUGCAUACAUUCACAUUCAUGACAAUUUCCAUGGACCAACUGAUAUGAUCAAGCAACAUUGUAUGUAAACAGAUUACGUAUGAAGUCAGAAUGAACUAAGGGGAAUUGAAUUAUGUUAGCUUUAUAAAUUGUAUAAAUAUACAUUUGACAGUUGUAAAUUUUUUUU